AGUGAACGCUGGCGGUAGGCCUAACACAUGCAAGUCGAACGGCAGCACAGUAAGAGCUUGCUCUUACGGGUGGCGAGUGGCGGACGGGUGAGGAAUACAUCGGAAUCUACUUUUUCGUGGGUGAUAACGUAGGGAAACUUACGCUAAUACCGCAUACGACCUACGGGUGAAGGCAGGGGAUCUUCGGACCUUGCGCGAUUGAAUGAGCCGAUGUCGGAUUAGCUAGUUGGCGGGGUAAAGGCCCACCAAGGCGACGAUCCGUAGCUGGUCUGAGAGGAUGAUCAGCCACACUGGAACUGAGACACGGUCCAGACUCCUACGGGAGGCAGCAGUGGGGAAUAUUGGACAAUGGGCGCAAGCCUGAUCCAGCCAUACCGCGUGGGUGAAGAAGGCCUUCGGGUUGUAAAGCCCUUUCGUUGGGAAAGAAAAGCAGCAGGUUAAUACCCCGCUGUUCUGACGGUACCCAAAGAAUAAGCACCGGCUAACUUCGUG
rnacentral:rRNA from 1 species